AUGGGGCGACACAUCACGAACCAUGGAAUGCUCCGGCAGCUCAGCAUGCUAAGGUAUGCCAUGUACCAAGGCUACUAUGUGCUCGAAACCUUCAGAUGCCAAGCGUACCAAGAAGAGGAGAAUAUUCAGGCUGUGAGUCAAUCUGGGGUCGUGUCCAAAUUUCGUUAUGCACAACGGCUCUGUCUCUCCAGCAGCAACAGCAAAAAAACAUCACAAGCGCUUGAAGAGGCCCUCGACGGUUUGAGAUCAAUGAUUCUUGAUGCCAGCGAUAUGGUGAGGUUCCUCACAACAUAUCCUCGCUUAGAUCGUCAGCCUUGCAACAUGCAUCUCUUGCUGGACAAGUGCAUGUUUGCCCGCCAAAGAGAGACAGAAGUAGUUAUCAACUUCCUGCUGUGCACACAAUCUUGUACUAGUAGCUUUGAUGUCCCCCCAAUUGUUGGUCCGAAGAAUGUCGGAAAAAGCAGUCUUGUCGCUCAUAUAUGCGAAGAUGAAAGAGUAAGCGAUUGUUUCCCCGAGAUUAUUAUUUUCAGGCAUGAUUAUUUCAGAACUGAAGAUAUAGCUGCUUUGAGAGAUAAAUGUGCAGCGAGACAUGAGAAAACAAAUGGGAGAUUGCUGAUCAUCGUCGACGUAGUUGGGGAUCUCAACGAAGAUCUGUGGAAAAUCUUUUAUUCUCUUUGUCGACAGAGCACUACAAGUGGUAGCAAAAUCAUCAUCACAAGCCGGUCUGACAAGAUCACAAAGCUAGGAACAGCACAGACUCUAGUACUGAAGCAUCUGUCUCAUGAGGCAUUCUGGUAUUUCUUUAAGGUGAUUACGUUUGGGAGCACGGAUCCCAGGAUGCACCCGACGCUUGUGUGUUUGGCAAUGGAGAUAGCAGAAUUGAUGAAUGCAAAUCUUGUUGAAGCAAACAUCACCGCAUGUGUACUGAGAGCUAAUUUUAACACCAAUUUCUGGUGCAAGGUUCUGGCAUUCCGAAGAGGGUACAUACAAAAUCAUCUCUGUAAGUUUGGUGAGCAUCCAUAUGAACUUCUCAGUGAGAAUAGACCUAUGCAUCUUCAACGAAUGGGUAGAAGUACUGAAGAUGUUUUUGUUCUAGACACUAAUCAGACAAGCUCUUCUGAAGAGGAAGUUUCCAAGAUAAAGGCUCUAGAUGUUUGGUUUGGAACCACUAGGCCUCAAGGGAUCUUUAAGGUCCUUGCAUGGAAGUCUCCCAUACCAGCCUACCAUAGCUACAUCCAAACUUAUGAGAUUCGAGAGGUGCAAGCUAGAGCAGUGAAGAGGAAGCGCCAUCUGAUGAACGGUCUUAGACAUGUUUAG
rnacentral:rRNA from 1 species